UACGAAGGGGGCUAGCGUUGCUCGGAAUUACUGGGCGUAAAGCGCACGUAGGCGGCUUUCUAAGUCGGGGGUGAAAUCCUGGAGCUCAACUCCAGAACUGCCUUCGAUACUGGAAAGCUCGAGUCCGGGAGAGGUGAGUGGAACUGCGAGUGUAGAGGUGAAAUUCGUAGAUAUUCGCAAGAACACCAGUGGCGAAGGCGGCUCACUGGCCCGAUAUUGACGCUGAGGCACGAAAGCGUGGGGAGCAAACAGG
rnacentral:rRNA from 1 species